rnacentral:rRNA from 1 species
GCGGUUAUACCUGCUACCCCCAUCCAAUGAGUUCGUAGAAGAGUGAAGCGAAAUUUAAACAGUAAAUCGUUGGGUGUUUAGGUAAAAUUUUCACCCAUUGGAAUAAUUAGGUUGUUUUAAUGCGAAACCUGAAAAGGCUGUAGUUAGAGACGGGGAUUUGAGACCCCCUUAUUGAGGCUGUCCGCAAAAUAAACGGGGACUACGAGCUAAGCGCUUAAAACUCGAUCAGGUUGGCGGUACUUUAGAUCCUGUUAGGGGAACUUGACGGUUAAUUCGAUGAUCCUCGAACAUCUUACACUUAGUAUUCUUUGCAUACCGCCGUUGAGGGUAGUCACGCGAUCGAAAAAAAGCUAGCGGAAGAUAUAAUAUGCUUAGUGAAGUUAAUAUAUAGCAAUUCAGGUAAACGUGUAGGUUCUAGGUGGCUUAGUUGAGUUACAAUUUUAUUUAAAUACGGAUGUUAUAUACGAAAAAUAGGCGGAAGGUGUACUUGUUAGUAAAAUUUCUAGAAAAAUUUUGAAUAGAGCCCUGAAGUGCGUACAAAUCGCCCGGCACCCUCGCAUAACCAAAGGGAGGUAAGUCGUAACAUAG